ACUGUGGAUUUUCUCAAAUCCACAAUCAGUUUAAAGAAACAGUGU
rfam:Xiphophorus maculatus strain JP 163 A Contig71.21, whole genome shotgun sequence.